AUAGCGUUGUUACAACUAGUGC
rnacentral:siRNA from 1 species